rnacentral:rRNA from 1 species
GACGAACGGCUGGCGGCGUGCCUAACACAUGCAAGUCGAGCGGAGUCGAUCGACGGAAGCCUUCGGGCGGAAGAUGGUUGACUUAGCGGCGGAUGGGUGAGUAACGCGUGGGCAACCUGCCUCGAAGACCGGGAUAACAGUCCGAAAGGGCUGCUAAUACCGGAUGUGGUCAAGGAUCCGCAUGGAUUUUGAUUAAAGGGGAAACCCGUUUCGAGAUGGGCCCGCGUCCUAUCAGCUAGUUGGUGAGGUAAAAGCUCACCAAGGCGACGACGGGUAGCCGGCCUGAGAGGGUGACCGGCCACACUGGAACUGAGACACGGUCCAGACUCCUACGGGGGGCAGCAGUGGGGAAUCUUCCACAAUGGGCGAAAGCCUGAUGGAGCGACGCCGCGUGAGCGAAGAAGGCCUUCGGGUUGUAAAGCUCUGUCUGGAGGGACGAAGGAAGUGACGGUACCUCCGGAGGAAGCCACGGCUAACUACGUG